rnacentral:rRNA from 1 species
GAUGAACGCUAGCGGCAGGCUUAAUACAUGCAAGUCGAACGGUAAGUGUUAUAGCAAUAUAGCACGAGAGUGACGUACGGGUGCGUAACACGUAUGCAACCUACCUUGUACAGGAGGAUAGCUCGGGGAAACUCGAAUUAACCCUCCAUAAGAUCAUAGAAUGGCAUCAUUUAGUGAUAAAACUUAGGUGGUACAAGAUGGGCAUGCGUCUGAUUAGAGUUUGGUGGGGUAAUGGCUCACCAAGACGAUGAUCAGUAGGGGACCUGAGAGGGUGAUCCCCACCA